rnacentral:rRNA from 1 species
CGUACAAGCAGUGGGAGCCCCACCACCAAAGCAUUCUCUGGUGUUGAAGGCCCUGCAAAGCAGCAUCGCGGUGGCGGAGCGUCGUUUGCGACGCCCAACACACAAAACAAGCGGUGAGUGCUUUGGGGUGGGGGGAAAGGCGAAAAGAACCCCGGCGAGGGGAGUGAAAAAGAACCUGAAACCGUGUACGUACAAGCAGUGGGAGCACAGGUUUACCUGUGUGACUGCGUACCUUUUGUAUAAUGGGUCAGCGACUUAUAUUCUGUAGCAAGGUUAACCGUAUAGGGGAGCCGCAGGGAAACCGAGUCUUAACCGGGCGUUAAGUUGCAGGGUAUAGACCCGAAACCCGGUGAUCUAGCCAUGGGCAGGUUGAAGGUUGGGUAACACUAACUGGAGGACCGAACCGACUAAUGUUGAAAAAUUAGCGGAUGACCUGUGGCUGGGGGUGAAAGGCCAAUCAAACCGGGAGAUAGCUGGUUCUCCCCGAAAGCUAUUUAGGUAGCGCCUCGUGAAUUCAUCUCCGGGGGUAGAGCACUGUUUCGGCUAGGGGGCCAUCCCGGCUUACCAACCCGAUGCAAACUGCGAAUACCGGAGAAUGUUAUCACGGGAGACACACGGCGGGUGCUAACGUCCGUCGUGAAGAGGGAAACAACCCAGACCGCCAGCUAAGGUCCCAAAGUCAUGGUUAAGUGGGAAACGAUGUGGGAAGGCCCAGACAGCCAGGAUGUUGGCUUAGAAGCAGCCAUCAUUUAAAGAAAGCGUAAUAGCUCACUGGUCGAGUCGGCCUGCGCGGAAGAUGUAACGGGGCUAAACCAUGCACCGAAGCUGCGGCAGCGAACGUAUCACUUAAAGCGAUUCAGCGGGUUACGAUUGACGGAGCGAAGCGACGUCAAAGCGUAUACAAAGUCGAGUCGGUUUAAGGAUACGGUUGUUGGGUAGGGGAGCGUUCUGUAAGCCUGUGAAGGUGGCCUGUGAGGGUUGCUGGAGGUAUCAGAAGUGCGAAUGCUGACAUAAGUAACGAUAAAGCGGGUGAAAAGCCCGCUCGCCGGAAGACCAAGGGUUCCUGUCCAACGUUAAUCGGGGCAGGGUGAGUCGACCCCUAAGGCGAGGCCGAAAGGCGUAGUCGAUGGGAAACGGGUUAAUAUUCCCGUACUUGGUGUUACUGCGAAGGGGGGACGGAGAAGGCUAUGUUGGCCGGGCGACGGUUGUCCCGGUUUAAGCGUGUAGGUGUGUGUUCCAGGUAAAUCCGGUUCACUUUAACACUGAGGCGUGACGACGAGGCACUACGGUGCUGAAGCAACAAAUGCCCUGCUUCCAGGAAAAGCCUCUAAGCAUCAGGUAACAUCAAAUCGUACCCCAAACCGACACAGGUGGUCAGGUAGAGAAUACCAAGGCGCUUGAGAGAACUCGGGUGAAGGAACUAGGCAAAAUGGUGCCGUAACUUCGGGAGAAGGCACGCUGACACGUAGGUGAAGUGAUUUACUCAUGGAGCUGAAGUCAGUCGAAGAUACCAGCUGGCUGCAACUGUUUAUUAAAAACACAGCACUGUGCAAACACGAAAGUGGACGUAUACGGUGUGACGCCUGCCCGGUGCCGGAAGGUUAAUUGAUGGGGUCAGCGCAAGCGAAGCUCCUGAUCGAAGCCCCGGUAAACGGCGGCCGUAACUAUAACGGUCCUAAGGUAGCGAAAUUCCUUGUCGGGUAAGUUCCGACCUGCACGAAUGGCGUAAUGAUGGCCAGGCUGUCUCCACCCGAGACUCAGUGAAAUUGAACUCGCUGUGAAGAUGCAGUGUACCCGCGGCAAGACGGAAAGACCCCGUGAACCUUUACUAUAGCUUGACACUGAACAUUGAGCCUUGAUGUGUAGGAUAGGUGGGAGGCUUUGAAGUGUGGACGCCAGUCUGCAUGGAGCCGACCUUGAAAUACCACCCUUUAAUGUUUGAUGUUCUAACGUGGACCCGUAAUCCGGGUUGCGGACAGUGUCUGGUGGGUAGUUUGACUGGGGCGGUCUCCUCCUAAAGAGUAACGGAGGAGCACGAAGGUUGGCUAAUCCUGGUCGGACAUCAGGAGGUUAGUGCAAUGGCAUAAGCCAGCUUGACUGCGAGCGUGACGGCGCGAGCAGGUGCGAAAGCAGGUCAUAGUGAUCCGGUGGUUCUGAAUGGAAGGGCCAUCGCUCAACGGAUAAAAGGUACUCCGGGGAUAACAGGCUGAUACCGCCCAAGAGUUCAUAUCGACGGCGGUGUUUGGCACCUCGAUGUCGGCUCAUCACAUCCUGGGGCUGAAGUAGGUCCCAAGGGUAUGGCUGUUCGCCAUUUAAAGUGGUACGCGAGCUGGGUUUAGAACGUCGUGAGACAGUUCGGUCCCUAUCUGCCGUGGGCGCUGGAGAACUGAGGGGGGCUGCUCCUAGUACGAGAGGACCGGAGUGGACGCAUCACUGGUGUUCGGGUUGUCAUGCCAAUGGCACUGCCCGGUAGCUAAAUGCGGAAGAGAUAAGUGCUGAAAGCAUCUAAGCACGAAACUUGCCCCGAGAUGAGUUCU